UACGAAGGGAGCUAGCGUUGUUCGGAAUUACUGGGCGUAAAGGGCGCGUAGGCGGGUUUCCAAGUCGGGGGUGAAAUUCCAGGGCUCAACCCUGGGACGGCCUUCGAUACUGGGAGCCUGGAGAUCGGGAGAGGUGAGUGGAAUUCCGAGUGUAGAGGUGAAAUUCGUAGAUAUUCGGAGGAACACCAGAAGCGAAGGCGGCUCACUGGCCCGAGACUGACGCUGACGGCGCGAAAGCGUGGGAG
rnacentral:rRNA from 1 species